rnacentral:rRNA from 1 species
UGCUAUUUUGCUGACGAGUGGCGGACGGGUGAGUAAUGCUUGGGAAUAUGCCUUAUGGUGGGGGACAACAGUUGGAAACGACUGCUAAUACCGCAUAACAUCUCCGGAUCAAAGUGGGGGACCUUCGGGCCUCACGCCAUAAGAGUAGCCCAAGUGGGAUUAGCUAGUUGGUAAGGUAAUGGCUUACCAAGGCGACGAUCCCUAGUUGGUCUUAGAGGAUGACCAGCCACACUGGAACUGAGACACGGUCCAGACUCCUACGGGAGGCAGCAGUGGGGAAUAUUGCACAAUGGGCGCAAGCCUGAUGCAGCCAUGCCGCGUGUGUGAAGAAGGCUUUCGGGUUGUAAAGCACUUUCAGCGAGGAGGAAAGGUUGUACUUUAAUAGAGUGCAGCUGUGACGUUACUCGCAGAAGAAGCACCGGCUAACUCCGUGCCAGCAGCCGCGGUAAUACGGAGGGUGCGAGCGUUAAUCGGAAUUACUGGGCGUAAAGCGCGCGUAGGCGGUUAAUUAAGUCAGAUGUGAAAUCCCAGGGCUCAACCUUGGAACUGCAUUUGAAACUGGUUAACUAGAGUUUUGUAGAGGGUGGUAGAAUUUCAGGUGUAGCGGUGAAAUGCGUAGAGAUCUGAAGGAAUACCAGUGGCGAAGGCGGCCACCUGGACAAAGACUGACGCUGAGGCGCGAAGGCGUGGGGAGCAAACGGGAUUAGAUACCCCGGUAGUCCACGCAGUAAACGAUGUCUAUUAGAAUUUUGUGGCUAUAUGCCGUGGGAUUCAAAGCUAACGCAUUAAAUAGACCGCCUGGGGAGUACGGCCGCAAGGUUAAAACUCAAAUGAAUUGACGGGGGCCCGCACAAGCGGUGGAGCAUGUGGUUUAAU